AGGGGGCAAUAGGGGGCGCUGUGAGGAGAUAGGGGGAGAUAUGGGGAGAUAUGGGCGAUAGGGGGAGAUAUGGGGAGAUAGGGAGAGAUGGGGGCGCUGUGGGGAGAUAUGGGGUGAUAUGGGGCGCUAUGGGGUGAUAUGAGGAGGUAUGGGGCUAUAUGGGGAGAUAUGGGGCACUAUGGGGAGAUAGGGGGUGCUGUGGAGAGAUAAUAGGGGACGCUGUGAGGAGAUAUGGGGAGAUAUGGGGAGAUAUGGGGAGAUAGGGGGAGAUAGGGGGAGAUUUGGGGUGCUAUGGGGAGAUAUGGGAAUAUAUGGGGCGCUAUGGGGAGAUAGGGGGCGCUGUGGGGUGAUAGGGGGCGCUAUGGGGUGAUAUGGGGAGGUAUGGGAGAUAUGGGGAGGUAUGGGGUGCUAUGGGGAGAUAUGGGGCGCAAUGGGGGAAUAUGGCGAGAUAUGGGGAGAUAGGGGGAGAUAGGGGGAGGUAUGGGCGCUAUGGGAAGAUAGGGGGAGAUAUGGGGCGCUAUGGGGAGAUAGGGGGCACAAUGGGGAGAUAGGGGGCGCGAUGGGGAGAUAGGGGGCGAUAUGCGGCACUAUGGGGCGCUAUGGGGCAAUAUGGGGUGAUAUGAGGAGGUAUGGGGUUAUAUGGGGAGAUAUGGGGCGUAUAGGAGAUAUGGGGCGUUAUGGGGAGAUAGGGGCGAUAUGGGGAGAUAUGGGGAGAUAUGGGGGUGCUAUGGGGUGCUUAUGGGUGAUAAGGGGUGCUAUGGGGAGAUAUGGGGCGCUAUGGGCCAAUCUGGGGUGAUAUGAGGAGGUAUGGGAUUAUAUGGGGAGAUAUGGGGCUGUAUAGGAAGAUAUGGGGCGUUAUGGGGAGAUAAGGGGCGAUAUGGGGAGAUAUGGGGAGAUAUGGGGCGCUAUGGGGAGAUAUGGGGAGAUAUGGGGCGCUAUGGGGCAAUAUGGGGCGCUAUGGGUAGAUAUGGGGCACUAUGGGAAGAUAUGGGGCGCUAUGGGGAGAUAGGGGGCGCCAUGGGGUUCUAUGGGGUCCCAGUGGUUCCCUAUGGGUCCCAAUGGUUCCCAAUGUGUCCCAAUGUGUCCCUAUGGGGUCUCAGUGGGUCCCAGUGUGUCCCUAUGGGUCCCAGUGUGUGCGUAUGGUCCCAGCAGGAGGCGUCCCAUGGGGCGGUGGGGGGCGCUGUGGGUCCCAAUGUGUCCCUAUGGGUCUCAAUGGUUCCCUAUGGUCCCAAUGUGUCCCUAUGGUCCCAGUGUGUCCCUAUGGGUCUCAAUGGUUCCCUAUGGUCCCAAUGUGUCCCAAUGUGUCCCUAUGGGUCCCAAUGUGUCCCUAUGGGGUCUCAGUGGGUCCCAGUGUGUCUGUAUGGUCCCAGCAGGAGGCGUCCCAUGGGGCGGAGGGGGCGGUGCUGUGGGUCCCAAUGUGUCCCUAUGGGUCCCAAUGUGUCCCUAUGGGUCUCAAUGGUUCCCUAUGGGUCCCAGUGUGUCCCUAUGGGUCUCAGUGGUUCCCUAUGGUCCCAAUGUGUCCCUAUGGGUCUCAAUGUGUCCCUAUGGUCCCAAUGUGUCCCUAUGGGUCCCUAUGUGUCUGUAUGGGUCCCUAUGGGAUCUCAGUGGUUCCCUAUGUGUCCCUAUGGGGUCUCAAUGGUUCCCUAUGUGUCCCUAUGGGUCCCAAUGUGUCCCUAUGGUCCCUAUAUGUCCCUAUGGGUCCCAAUGUAUCCCUAUGGGGUAACAGUGGUUCCCUAUGGCUCUCAAUGUGUCCCUAUGGUCCCAAUGUGUCCCUAUGGUCCCAAUGUGUCCCUAUGGGUCUCAAUGGUUCCCUAUGGGUCCCAGUGUGUCCCUAUGGGUCUCAGUGGUUCCCUAUGGGUCCCAAUGUGUCCCUAUGGGUCCCAAUGUGUCCCUAUGGGUCUCAAUGGUUCCCUAUGGGUCCCAGUGUGUCCCUAUGGGUCUCAGUGGUUCCCUAUGGGUCCCAAUGUGUCCCUAUGGGUCCCAAUGUGUCCCUAUGGGUCUCAAUGGUUCCCUAUGGGUCCCAGUGUGUCCCUAUGGGUCUCAGUGGUUCCCUAUGGGUCCCAAUGUGUCCCUAUGGGUCCCAGUGUGUCCCUAUGGGUCCCUAUAUGUAUGUCCCUAUGGGUCCCUAUAUGUCCCUAUGGGUCCCAGUGUGUCUGUAUGGUCCCAGCAGGAGGCGUCCCAUGGGGCGGAGGGGGCGGCGCUGUGGGUCCCAAUGUGUCCCUAUGGGUUCCUAUAUGUCCCUAUGGGUCCCAAUGUGUCCCUAUGGGUCCCAGUGUGUGCGUAUGGUCCCAGCAGGAGGUGUCCCAUGGGGCGGUGGGGGCGGCACUGUGGGUCCCAAUGUGUCCCUAUGGGUCUCAGUGGUUCCCUAUGGGUCCCUAUAUGUCCCUAUGGGUCCCAGUGUGUCUGUAUGGUCCCAGCAGGAGGCGUCCCAUGGGGUGGUGGGGGUGGCGCUGUGGGUCCCAAUGUGUCCCUAUGGUCCCAAUGUGUCCCAAAGUGUCCCAAUGUGUCCCUAUGGGUCCCAAUGUGUCCUUAUGGUCCCAAUGUGUCCCUAUGGGUCCCAAUGUGUCCCUAUGGGUCCCUAUAUGUCCCUAUGGGUCCCAGUGUGUCUGUGUGGUCCCAGCAGGAGGCGUCCCAUGGGGCGGUGGGGGCGGCGCUGCCCCCCGCGCUGCAGCCCUAUGGUUCCCCCCCCCGGGGCCGCCUGCGGGUGGUGGGGGCGGGGCGGGCGCUGGCGGGCGCCUAUCAGUGCCGCGUGGACAACGGGGUGGGACCCCCCGCAACCGCACUCAUCCGCCUCGUCGUCACCUACGGCCCGGAAUUGGAGGAGGACCCUCCAGUGGUUCCGGUUGGGGACGGCGCCGAAGUGGCGGAGCUGCGCUGCCGGGCUCGGGGGGUUCCGGCUGUGGAGCUCAGCUGGGAGCGCUACGGCCAAUCACUGCCGCCUGA
rnacentral:lncRNA from 7 species